ACAAAGAAGAGUUUGAUCCUGGCUCAGGAUGAACGCUAGCGAUAGGCCUAACACAUGCAAGUCGAGGGGCAGCAUAGAGUAGCAAUACUUUGAUGGCGACCGGCGCACGGGUGAGUAACACGUAUGCAACCUACCUACAUCAGGGGAAUAACCCGGAGAAAUUCGGACUAAUACCGCAUAA
rnacentral:ncRNA from 1 species